rnacentral:lncRNA from 1 species
AGGUGACUACUCCUCCCCUCAGGUGACUACUUCUACAUGCUGGUGACUCCCCCUCUAUGAAGUUAACUACCCCUCCACUCUGGUGAUUACCCCUCUACUUAGGUGACUACCCCACCACUCUGGUGACUUCUCGUCCAACCAGAUGACUACUCCUCUAUCAAGGUGACAGCUCCUCCACUCAGAUUGCUAAACUUGCUGUCCCUUUUUGAGGUCAGAACAGCAACC